rnacentral:rRNA from 1 species
GAUGAACGCUGGCGGCAGGCUAACACAUGCAAGUCGAGCGGCAGCACGGGUACUUGUACCUGGUGGCGAGCGGCGGACGGUGAGUAAUGCCUAGGAAUCUGCCUGGUAGUGGGGGAUAACGACUCGGAAACGGACGCUAAUACCGCAUACGUCCUACGGGAGAAAGGCAGGGGACCUUCGGGCCUUGCGCUAUCAGAUGAGCCUAGGUCGGAUUAGCUAGUUGGUGAGGUAAUGGCUCACCAAGGCGACGAUCCGUAACUGGUCUGAGAGGAUGAUCAGUCACACUGGAACUGAGACACGGUCCAGACUCCUACGGGAGGCAGCAGUGGGGAAUAUUGGACAAUAGGCGAAAGCCUGAUCCAGCCAUGCCGCGUGUGUGAAGAAGGUCUUCGGAUUGUAAAGCACUUUAAGUUGGGAGGAAGGGCAGUUACCUAAUACGUGAUUGUUUUGACGUUACCGACAGAAUAAGCACCGACUAACUCUGUG